rnacentral:rRNA from 1 species
AGUGAACGCUGGCGGUAGGCCUAACACAUGCAAGUCGAACGGCAGCACAGUAAGAGCUUGCUCUUACGGGUGGCGAGUGGCGGACGGGUGAGGAAUACAUCGGAAUCUACUUUUUUGUGGGGGAUAACGUAGGGAAACUUACGCUAAUACCGCAUACGACCUACGGGUGAAAGCAGGGGAUCUUCGGACCUUGCGCGAUUGAAUGAGCCGAUGUCGGAUUAGCUAGUUGGCGGGGUAAAGGCCCACCAAGGCGACGAUCCGUAGCUGGUCUGAGAGGAUGAUCAGCCACACUGGAACUGAGACACGGUCCAGACUCCUACGGGAGGCAGCAGUGGGGAAUAUUGGACAAUGGGCGCAAGCCUGAUCCAGCCAUGCCGCGUGGGUGAAGAAGGCCUUCGGGUUGUAAAGCCCUUUUGUUGGGAAAGAGAAGCAGCAGGUUAAUACCCCGCUGUUCUGACGGUACCCAAAGAAUAGGCACCGGCUAACUUCGUG